UCACAAUAUCAUGUGUAGUUACAUGACGGAAGAAGUAGGAAUUUUUAUUGAUGUAGACACAGGGUCUCACAACACAACAAGCAGGCUUGUAUCUAACUUGUCCGACCCGUCAGGACGAGUCUGACAGAUUCUCUGACUUUGCUGUUAGAAAAUAGACCGAAGCCGCCUGGCAAACGACUGAAUUCAAGACCCAACAGAGAAGACAACGCCUAUAAUGGCGCAAUAAACACAAGGAAAAAGAUUGCUGAAUGCCAUUGGAAUUAUGGAAGCGAUGCCCAUGUUGGAGGUACGCUGGAUGGCAAAAAAGGUUCAAAGAUGGAAAAGGUCAUUUCCUAUUUUAAGACCUUAAAAACAUGAUUAAGAAAUGUGCAUGAAGAAUCACUGGUCUUGGCCUUGGCAGCCAUCUUCCAGUAAUGCUGUGGGCAUCACUGUAAACAAGGGCAAGAUUCUUGCCAAAAGAAUGAAGGUGCAGACUCGGCACAUCAGGCUCUCUAAGAAUCGAGACAGCUUCCACAACCAAGUGAAAGAAACAAUCAGGAGAAAAGGGAAGCCGAGGAGAAGGGCACCUGGGGCCGGUGGGAGCACGGCCCUACCCACCCGGAGAAGCACACUUUGUGAGGACUGACAGAAAGGAAGGAGCCUGAGCUGCUGGAGCCCAUUCCAUGUGGAUUCAAAGAGAAAUAAAGGACCUGGACUGGAAAGUGUUUUUCUUAAGUUGAAAUGUGGUGUCUCUUCCUCGAAAGAAAACAUUGAAGCAAAUUUUAA